CGAAUGCUGGCGGCGUGCUUAACACAUGCAAGUCGAACGCGAAAGGGACUUCGGUCCUGAGUAAAGUGGCGCACGGGUGAGUAACGCGUAGAUAACCUGUCUUCAUGUCUGGAAUAAUACGCCGAAAGGGGUACUAAUACCGGAUAUUCUUGCUUUUCAUAAGUUAUGCAAGCAAAGGUGGCCUCUGCAUAUGCUACUGCAUGAAGAGGGGUCUGCGUACCAUUAGCUAGUAGGUGGGGUAAUGGCCUACCUAGGCGACGAUGGUUAGCGGGUCUGAGAGGAUGAUCCGCCACACUGGCACUGGAACACGGGCCAGACUCCUACGGGAGGCAGCAGUGAGGAAUAUUGCGCAAUGGGGGAAACCCUGACGCAGCGACGCCGCGUGAGUGAGGAAGGCCUUCGGGUCGUAAAGCUCUGUCAAGAGGAAAGAAGUGUACAAUGGCUAAUACCUGUUGUAUUUGACGGUACCUCUAAAGGAAGCACCGGCUAACUCCGUGCCAGCCGCGGC
rnacentral:rRNA from 1 species